rnacentral:rRNA from 1 species
UACGUAGGUGGCAAGCGUUGUUCGGAAUUAUUGGGCGUAAAGGGCGCGUAGGCGGUUUGUUAAGUCGGUCGUGAAAGCCCGGGGCUCAACCCCGGAGGGUCGACCGAUACUGGCAGACUAGAGUACAGAAGAGGUAACUGGAAUUCCCGGUGUAGCGGUGAAAUGCGUAGAUAUUGGGAGGAACACCAGUGGCGAAGGCGGCUCACUGGACCGGAACUGACGCUGAGGCGCGAAAGCGUGGGGAGCAAACAGG